UACGGAGGAUCCGAGCGUUAUCCGGAUUUAUUGGGUUUAAAGGGAGCGUAGGCGGAAAUGUAAGUCAGUGGUGAAAUCCUGCAGCUUAACUGUAACAGUGCCGUUGAUACUGUGGAGCUAGGAUUUGGUUGCUGUGGGUGGAAUGUGUGGUGUAGCGGUGAAAUGCUUAGAGAUCACACAGAAUAUCGAUUGCGAAGGCAGCUCACAAAGCCAAGAUUGACGCUGAGGCACGAAAGUGUGGGGAUCAAACA
rnacentral:rRNA from 1 species